GCUACUGUCAAAAUAACGACGAGGUCGAGUCGAGCGCACAUAUAUAUAAAACACUGUGUGUACAAAAUAUAUUGUGUGUGUAUCUACGAAAGAUAAGAUAUGUCAUGGUUCUUCCACCUGCAUACAAAUAUAAUAUAUAUUUUAUGUGCACAGUGACAAUUAAGUGUUGUUAAUAAUAAUAAUCCUGAAGAAAGAGGACGCGCUCCUCGCCUCUCACGAGCGCCGUUUCGGUCUCUACGGUGACACUACGGUUUAUCACUUGAUUAACUUUUAUCUGUCUAAUUAAUCAACCGAAUUUCUGUCAUGAUUCUCAGUGUCAGUAAAUCCAGCGAUUGAUUUGAAGCGCGUUUUGAAACCUAAAUCCGACCGAUCACAUCUGAAGCGUUCGAGUGCAGGCUGCACUUCUGCCACUUCUGGACACUUUGCAGAGACAUUCGGAACAUUUGACGGCGUGGACAGUGGACUGGCGUAGGCCGCAUGGAUACAGAACAAUUCAGCGGGAUAACGCCGCUGGAAUAGCUUGGAGGUGUUUUUUCAUAAGCUAAGUCGUAAAUCGUGUAGAGACUAUAUUCAGAUUCAAGUGUCAUCCAUAUCACUCUAUCAUUAUUUACCAAACAAGGAUAACAUGACAUUCAGAGAACACUUGAGUGAGAAUCUGCAACACAUUUCUUAAGAAUAAGGAGAGAAAAAGAGAAAAGAUGUACUUUUACUUGAUGCUAUGUUCAUUUUUAGCUUCAAAACAGAUCAUGUGAUCAAAAUUGGUGAAUAUCGAGCGUCAUUUUCUGACUUAAAAAGAGCAUAGUAAAAAUACA